GAUGAACGCUGGCGGCGUGCCUAAUACAUGCAAGUCGAGCGAACAGAUGAGGAGCUUGCUCCUCUGACGUUAGCGGCGGACGGGUGAGUAACACGUGGAUAACCUACCUAUAAGACUGGGAUAACUUCGGGAAACCGGAGCUAAUACCGGAUAAUAUAUUGAACCGCAUGGUUCAAUAGUGAAAGACGGUUUUGCUGUCACUUAUAGAUGGAUCCGCGCCGCAUUAGCUAGUUGGUAAGGUAACGGCUUACCAAGGCAACGAUGCGUAGCCGACCUGAGAGGGUGAUCGGCCACACUGGAACUGAGACACGGUCCAGACUCCUACGGGAGGCAGCAGUAGGGAAUCUUCCGCAAUGGGCGAAAGCCUGACGGAGCAACGCCGCGUGAGUGAUGAAGGUCUUCGGAUCGUAAAACUCUGUUAUUAGGGAAGAACAAAUGUGUAAGUAACUAUGCACGUCUGGACGGUACCUAAUCAGAAGCCACGGCUAACUACGUG
rnacentral:rRNA from 1 species